CCUACGGGAGGCAGCAGUAGGGCAUAUUGCUCAAUGGGGGAAACUCUGAAGCAGCCACGCCGCGUGGAGGAUGAAUGUUUUAGGAUUUUAAACUCCUUUUUUUAGAGAGGUUAAUCACGGUAUCUAUCGCUUAAGCACCGGCUAACUCCGUGCCAGAAGCCGCAGCUAUACGGAGGUUGCAAUCGUAACUCGGAGUCACUGGGCGUAAAGAGCGCGUAGGCGGUAUAGCAAGUCAAAUGUGAAAUCCUACGGCUUAACCAUAGAACUUCAUUUGAAACUGUUAUUCUAGAGUAUGGGAGAGGUAGGUGGGAUUCUUGGUGUAGGGGUAAAAUCCGGAGAGAUCACGAGGAAUACUCAUUGCGAAGGCGACCUGCUAGAACAUGACUGACGCUGAUGCGCGAAAGCGUGGGGAGCAAACAGGAGUAGAUACCCUAGUAGUC
rnacentral:rRNA from 1 species